CAAUAGCGUAUAUUAAAGUUGUUGCAGCUAAAAAGCUCGUAGUUGGAUUUCGGGGCAGCCUGGCUGGUCCGCCGCAAGGCGAGUACUGGUCAGCCGCCCUUCCUCUCGAAAGCCCCGACUGCUCUUCGUUGCAGUGGUCGGGUAGUUCGGGACGUUUACUUUGAAAAAAUUAGAGUGUUCAAGGCAGGCCUACGCCUGAAUACAUUAGCAUGGAAUAAUGGAAGAGGACCUCGGUCCUAUUUUGUUGGUUUCCAGGGCCGAAGUAAUGAUUAAGAGGGACAGUUGGGGGCAUUCGUAUUUAAUUGUCAGAGGUGAAAUUCUCGGAUUUAUGAAAGACGAACAACUGCGAAAGCAUUUGCCAAGGAUGUUUUCAUUAA
rnacentral:rRNA from 1 species